UCUGGUCUUCUCAGCUUGCCUCUCCUGGUGUGGAACCUCUGCUUUAUGAAUGAGCCAGGGUGAGAGUAGUUGGGGACCCAGGAUUUGUCAGCUUGGGUGGAGCAUAUCCUCCAUUACUUCCUGAGAAAAGAUACAUGGAAUGUUGGUUUUUUGAGACUUUGCACAUCUGAAAAUGUCUUUCUUCUAUCCCUGUCCUUGAUUGGCUUUUAGGUUAGGUAUAGAAUUCUGGCCUGGAAAUUAUUUUCCUUCAGAAUUUGAAGGCUUUACUCUAUUACCUUCUGGCUUUCAGUAUUGCUACCAGAAGGAAGCUGUUCUGUAUUCCUAAUCUUUUAAAUGUGGAAGUA
rnacentral:lncRNA from 1 species